UACAGAGACUGCAAGCGUUAUUCGGAUUCACUGGGCGUAAAGGGUGCGCAGGCGGUUGUGUGGGGCAGGUGUGAAAGCCCGGGGCUUAACCCCGGAAUUGCGCCUGAAACUACAUGACUAGAGCAUUGGAGAGGGUAGCGGAAUUCACGGUGUAGCAGUGAAAUGCGUAGAUAUCGUGAGGAACACCAGAGGCGAAGGCGGCUCCCUGGACAAUUGCUGACGCUCAGGAACGAAAGCGUGGGGAGCAAAAGGG
rnacentral:rRNA from 1 species